GGAGGUAUGGCUGAGUGGCUGAAGGUAUUGGUUUGCUAAAUCAACGUGCAAUUUAAUGCACCAUGGGUUCGAAUCCCAUUUCCUCCG
rfam:Bathycoccus prasinos genomic : Mitochondrion.